rnacentral:rRNA from 1 species
CACCUGUUUAUCAAAAACAUGUCUUUUUGAAAAUAAUUUAAAGUCCAAUCUGCUCAAUGAUUAAUUAAUUUAAUAGCUGCAAUAUUUAUAAUUGUACUAAGGUAGCAUAAUCAUUAGUUUAUUAAUUGUAAACUUGUAUGAACGAUUUGAUGAAAUAAAUACUAUUUCAUUUUAAAAAAAUAAAUUUUUUUUUUAAGUUAAAAAACUUAAAUAAUAUUAAAAGACGAGAAGACCCUUUAGAAUUUUAUAAUAAUAAUUUAUAAAAAUUUUUAUAUAUUUAUAAAUAAUUAUUAUUUAAUUGGGGUGAUUAUAAAAUUUAAUAAACUUUUAUAUAAAUAAACAAUAAUUUUUGAAUAAAAUAUAUUUUUUUUAAAAAAAUAAAUUAAAUUACCUAAGGGAUAACAGCAUAAUUUUUUUAAAAAGCACAAAUUUAUAAAAAAGUUUAUGACCUCGAUGUUGAAUUAAGA